rnacentral:rRNA from 1 species
GACGUAGGGAGCGAGCGUUGUUCGGAAUUACUGGGCGUAAAGAGCUCGUAGGCGGGACCGUAAGUCCGAGAGGAAAUCUCAAGGCUCAACUUUGGGGCUUUCUUGGAUACUGCGGUUCUUGAGGAUGAGAGAGGUAAGUAGAAUUCCCGGUGUAGCGGUGAAAUGCGUAGAUAUCGGGAGGAAUACCAGUGGCGAAGGCGGCUUACUGGCUCAUUCCUGACGCUGAGGAGCGAAAGCGUGGGGAGCAAACGGG